UGGUCCUUUGCUGGUUUAUGCUGGUCCUUGACCAGCAAUAUGACCAGCAAAAACUAGGACCAGCUUAAACCAGCAUCAAAACAUACCUACCAGCAUAUGCUGGUUUUUGUAGAUGACCGUUUCUGAGUAUAUUUUUUACUUCACCUCUUCAAAUACUGAUAACUUUUAAUGAUAAGAUAUUGGUUCACAUUUUUAGAUCAAGCACACGUUUUUCAGGAAAAACAGGCACCCAAUACAGAGACUACAGUAAAAUGUUAGUCAGUUUUAACCACUGUUUCCAGACCUGAAUUAUGAUUAUAAUCAUUAUAAGUACAUCUGUAAGACAUUUCCUCCACUGGUGAUAGAAAAUCUGAGUAACUUUUUUCCCUGUUGUCUUUCUUUUUCUGAGGUGGCACAAAGAAAAGGAAAUAGAACUUGUCACCAUCUUCAGUCCUUUAUUUUAUUCACUGGAGAACAUCACAGCCUUCAGAUGUGUCAUAUCAGGAUAAAUGCAACUGCAGGACUCGUCGGGCCCACCCCACUACAGAUUCACCAAGGAUCCAGCUGAUCACUGCCAAUUUGAAGGAGGAUUGUCCUUUAUCUGCUACAUUGCACUCUCACUUCUGAGGCUGUUAAGAAGACUGCACUGAUGUCAAAGAUCAACCAUCAAGAAUCUGAGAGGGAACUCUCAAAAUGGUUUACUGGGACAAGAGACAGGAGGACUGAGGGUGUCUAGAAAGCACAAAUGUCUGUCUGCAGUGUAAGCAGUACUGAAAAAUGUAUAGUUGCUGCUGCUGUUUCUUACUGUCUCUGUUUUCUAUGUGCAAAUGUUCAAAGCUUUCAGUAAACACUGGUUCAAAUACAAGUUCAAAAUGUUUGUUAACUUUAACAAUUAAAUGAU